UACUACCAUCAACGCAAACAAAAUUUACGGAAAUCUCAAAACAGAAAUAUGAAGCUGCAUGUUUUAGUUUGUUUUUUCUUUCUAUUUCUGGUUUUACUUUCUUUUAAACCAGAAGUAGAAGCAAAGCCCUGCCAUGAGCAUGGUUCUCACGGUGGUUCUUCACAUAAACAAACGCACAAGAAGCUGGGUGGUGGUAAAUGAGAAUUUAUAGGACAUUUUUACGAAAAAUCAUAUUUCGAAUGACUUUGUUCUCUAAAUUUGACAUUUUAAUAAAAAUUGUAUGAUAGCAAA